CACCCCUCCCAAAAUGGCAGCCACCAUCCUCAUGUGGUGGCUUACCAUCAUAAGUGUAAAAACCAUCAUGUACAACUCAACAAUUUAUUGAAACAUAAACUCUGCCUGAAUAAAGAAAUAGGACAUCACCAGCACUCCCAAGACUAUCCUCUCCCUCACCUAAAGGCAUGCACUGCUGCCCGUCCUUAUAUAGAAGGCUAUCAUCGC